ensembl:lncRNA
CGAAUUAGAACAACCUGAAUAUGAAUAGAAAUGGAAGCUUUGCCUCUUUUGUUUAAUGCGCAUGCGCCAAAUUAAUACGUAAUGACGGCGCACUACUUCAGCAGAUUUUGAAAAAUGCGCUGUGCGCCAUGUUUGUGUAAUCGCGAUGCGUGAGGGAACAAACAAGAAGAGAAUGAUUACAGAUGAGAUUUUAUGUACUGCAGACGAUGAAUCAAUAAGUAACAAACCAAAGGAUGAGGACAGUAGCUUUUCUGUGCCAGCCGUGAUGAAUAAAGUAACAUCCUUCAUGAAGAUGUGUGAGAGAAGCUUGUAAGCCAGGGUCAGUGAAGAUUGUGUGGUCAGUGGAAUUCUGCUGUUUAUGGGAAGCGUAAAGGAACAUCUCCCAGCAUUCUUCUUGAUGAUUGAGGUAUUUUUUCUGACUUUCGUGCCUCUUUGGAACAUUUCCAUUCACACAGACUGUGGAGAGAUGGUCUGCACCUUCAUGACAUUUGAAGUUUACUGCCGAUGAAGAGCUUCUGGGACACUGACAGACAGCACUUCCCAGCAAGUUCAUUUGGAGUUCUUGUUUUAUUAAUUUAUUUAUUUAUUUAUUUAAGUCAAACUUGCAUUCACUAAUGCUGGAGUAAGAUUUUAGAAGAAAACUUUCGGUCCCAUUUAAUGUUGGUGCUAGUAAAAGUUUGAGAACUUAUGGCCUGGUUUCACAGACAGGGCUUAGACUAAGCCAGGAUCAUAGUUCAAUAAGGACAUUUAAGUCAUUUUCAUUAACAUACCUUAGAAAAAAACAUUACUGGUGUGCAUCUUGAGACAAAACAAAGGCACUGAUAUUUUUAAAGAUUAGUCAGUGCAAUUUUCUUUCAGUUGAAACUGCUCAGAAUUACAUUUUUGUCCGGGGCUGAUCUUAAGCCUUGUCUGUGAAACCAGGGGUACAAGUAACACAGUUAGGUAAUGUUUUACAUUAAGGUCUCAUUUGUUGUACAUGGACUGAUAAUGUUCUUGAUUUUUUUUGUAUUAAGUGUUUGUAUGUUAUGGGGACCAAAUGACUCCACAAGGAUAGUAAUACCAGUAAAUUUUGACCUUGUGAACAUUUUGAGGACCCCAAUGAGGAAACAGGCUUAUACAUCUUACAGAAUGAUGUUUUCUGUGAUGGCGAGAUUAGGUACUUUUGUAUGUAAGUGAUUUUGCAUUCUUCUCCAGACUCUUUCUAAUAAGUGAGUUAAAGUGUUGUAACUGUAUAAUGUUGGGUUUUUCUUGUGCAUCAGCAAAAAGCACUUUUGUGUAUUUGUUUUAGAGAUUUUGUCAAUAAAUGUAAAGGGUUUUCCA